rnacentral:rRNA from 1 species
GGGGAAUAUUGGGCAAUGGAGGGAACUCUUACCCAGCAAUGCCGCGUGAAGGAAGAAGGUCUUCGGAUUGUAAACUUCUGUUAUAGGCGAAGAAGAAUGACGGUAGCCUAUGAGCAAGCCCCGGCAAACUAUGUGCCAGCAGCCGCGGUAAUACAUAGGGGGCGAGCGUUGUCCGGAAUGACUGGGCGUAAAGGGAGCGUAGGCGGUCAUGCAAGUUAUAUGUGAAAGCCCGGGGCUUAACCUCGGAACUGCAUGUAAAACUGCAUGGCUAGAGUGUGGGAGAGGAAAGUGGAAUUCCUAGUGUAGCGGUGGAAUGCGUAGAUAUUAGGAGGAACACCAGUGGCGAAGGCGGCUUUCUGGACCACAACUGACGCUGAGGCUCGAAAGCGUGGGGAGCAAAC